GAUUAGGUCGGGAACUCAAAGGAGACUGCCAGUGAUAAACUGGAGGAAGGUGGGGAUGACGUCAAGUCAUCAUGGCCCUUACGACCAGGGCUACACACGUGCUACAAUGGCGCAUACAAAGAGAAGCGACCUCGCGAGAGCAAGCGGACCUCAUAAAGUGCGUCGUAGUCCGGAUUGGAGUCUGCAACUCGACUCCAUGAAGUCGGAAUCGCUAGUAAUCGUGGAUCAGAAUGCCACGGUGAAUACGUUCCCGGGCCUUGUACACACCGCCCGUCACACCAUGGGAGUGGGUUGCAAAAGAAGUAGGUAGCUUAACCUUCGGGAGGGCGCUUACCACUUUGUGAUUCAUGACUGGGGUGAAGUCGUAACAAGGUAACCGUAGGGGAACCUGCGGUUGGA
rnacentral:rRNA from 4 species